GACGAACGCUGGCGGCGUGCUUAACACAUGCAAGUCGAAAGAAGUGGCGAACGGGUGAGUAACGCGUAAUCAAUCUGCCCUUCAGAGGGGGACAACAGUUAGAAACGACUGCUAAUACCACAUACUGAAGGUGGGGAUUUCGUAUGAUUAGCUAGGUGGAGGGGUAACGGCCCACCAAGGCGAGGAUCAGUAGCCGGUCUGAGAGGAUGAACGGCCACAUUGGGACUGAGACACGGCCCAGACUCCUACGGGAGGAAGCAGUGGGGAAGCUUCAGCAAUGGACGAAAGUCUGACGGAGCAAUGCCGCGUGAGUGAUGACGGCCUUCGGGUUGUAAAGCUCUGUUAAUCGGGACGCGGUACCGGAAUAGAAAGCCACGGCUAACUACGUGUCAGCAGCCGCGGUAAUAC
rnacentral:rRNA from 1 species